GAGUUUGCGAGGGAGAAGAGGAAGCAGCGCUGCCUUUCCAUCGCCGCUGCUGCCAAGGUUUGUGGAGGAGAGUGUCGCCGUCGCCGUGGGUGGAGUCCACCGUCCGAGCUGCCACCAGAAGGAUCCACCGCCACUGAACCCUAGCUAUCACUGCCGUUGGAGUCACCGUGGUUGCCAUUGGAGAAGUGUUAUGAACGCCGCUGCUAUUAAACCACUUUAGUCACUACUUCGGUCCCAUUCAAGCACCACAGCCUCCUCUUUUCUUGUCUUUGAAUAAGCACUGCCAUUUUCCAGUUUCAAUCCCGAUUCUACCAUUUUUGAAUAUUUCUGCCAAGGUAUGUUUGAAAAAUUAAAAUUGGUGCUGCUGCCGUUUCGAUCAUGUUGGAAUCACCAUUGUUGCCAUGAAACAAAAACGGAAGGGAGUUAACAUGUUUCACCUAUGUAAAUUCAGCUAGUCGAGGUAGGGGAUUUUAUUUUGAAAUUAACUGUUUUAAAUUAUGAAUGCAAUGAAAGUCUAGUGGGUAUUUGCAAAUAGUUUAUGAUUGUUUGAAAUGACUGAAUGAUGAGUUUGAA